GAGGGCCCUCUGGGUCCAACCUCCCACCCGUGUUUAUUUUACCUUGUUGCUUCGGCGGGCCCGCCUUAACUGGCCGCCGGGGGGCUUACGCCCCCGGGCCCGCGCCCGCCGAAGACACCCUCGAACUCUGUCUGAAGAUUGUAGUCUGAGUGAAAAUAUAAAUUAUUUAAAACUUUCAACAACGGAUCUCUUGGUUCCGGCAUCGAUGAAGAACGCAGCGAAAUGCGAUACGUAAUGUGAAUUGCAAAUUCAGUGAAUCAUCGAGUCUUUGAACGCACAUUGCGCCCCCUGGUAUUCCGGGGGGCAUGCCUGUCCGAGCGUCAUUUCUGCCCUCAAGCACGGCUUGUGUGUUGGGCCCCGUCCUCCGAUCCCGGGGGACGGGCCCGAAAGGCAGCGGCGGCACCGCGUCCGGUCCUCGAGCGUAUGGGGCUUUGUCACCCGCUCUGUAGGCCCGGCCGGCGCUUGCCGAUCAACCCAAAUUUUUAUCCAGGUUGACCUCGGAUCAGGUAGGGAUACCCGCUGAACUUAAGCAUAUCAUAA
rnacentral:rRNA from 1 species